ACGAACGCUGGCGGCGUGCCUAACACAUGCAAGUCGAACGGGGAUGUUUUGAAAGCUUGCUGAUAAGCAUCUUAGUGGCGCACGGGUGAGUAACACGUGGGCAACCUGCCCGGAAGUCUGGGAUAACAGUGCGAAAGUACUGCUAAUACCGGAUACCUUCACGAAGCUGCCUAGCUUUGUGAAGAAAGAUUAAUUGCUUCCGGAUGGGCCCGCGUCCCAUUAGCUAGUUGGUGAGGUAACGGCUCACCAAGGCGACGGAUGGGUAGCUG
rnacentral:rRNA from 1 species